UGUAACCUGAGGUCCAAUAUUCUUCUUGGGAUUGGUGGUAAAAGAAAAAAUAAAUAAAAAUGAAAACAGAAAUAAAUAAAUAAAUACCAAAAGAUUAAAAAUAAAGUAAAAAAUAAAAAAUAAAAAGAAAACACUCACGCUUCCCUUAUAAAUACCACCUCUCUUCCUCGCCUAAACCUACACCUUCUCUUCCUCCUCCUCUUCCUCUGCCUAUCCUCUUCUGCUUCAUUUCUUUUUUUCUCUCCCUUUUGACAAUUCAAUUCAGUUUCAAAGAAUGUUAUCUAGUUUGUACUCUUUUUUUAUUUUAUUUUUUGUUUUUUUGGUUGGUUCACUUUGAAUGACCCUCUUUGUAUUUUUCCACAGCUUUCUUGAACUGCAUCUAUGUGAGAUCUUUGCAUGUGAAAAAGGGUUUUCUUUGAAUAUAUUCAUAUAUAUAUAUGUAUCUGUAUCUCUGCUUUGGUUGCGGUUCAAUAAAGCUGUGGGAAGAUACAUAUAGGGUCAAGGAAAAAAAAAAAAAAAAAAGAAACUUCAAGAUCGGAUUGACUUUCGGCUACCUCCUCCAUGUGGAUCCGUCAAGAACUCAAAACGGGUCACUGCUGGGCCACCAAUACCAAAGAAUAUUCAAAUGCGCAGCAAAAGCUGGAAUCUGCUGUGAAUUUAGAUGGAUUUACAGGUGGAACUCUCACGGGGACUCUAAUCCAUCCAAUUAAUAAGGCCAACCCUUUUAGUUCUAAUAAUAAUGAUACUUACGCACAUCACACACAUCAUAUGAAUAGACCUACUUUUCUUUUUUAUACAUAAUACAUGUUUUAAUGUAGCCCACAAAUCAGACACCAACUUUAAUGCCAACCUAUUUUUUUGUUGGACA